rnacentral:rRNA from 1 species
GACGAACGCUGGCGGCGUGCCUAAUACAUGCAAGUCGAGCGAGUUUUUCUGGUGCUUGCACUAGAAAAACUUAGCGGCGAACGGGUGAGUAACACGUAAAGAACCUGCCUCAUAGACGGGGACAACUAUUGGAAACGAUAGCUAAUACCGGAUAACAGCAUAAAUCGCAUGAUAUAUGUUUAAAAGUUGGUUUCGGCUAACACUAUGAGAUGGCUUUGCGGUGCAUUAGCUAGUUGGUGGGGUAAAGGCCUACCAAGGCGACGAUGCAUAGCCGACCUGAGAGGGUGAUCGGCCACACUGGGACUGAGACACGGCCCAGACUCCUACGGGAGGCAGCAGUAGGGAAUCUUCCGCAAUGGGCGAAAGCCUGACGGAGCAACGCCGCGUGAGUGAAGAAGGAUUUUCGGUUCGUAAAGCUCUGUUGUUAGGGAAGAAUGAUUGUAUAGUAACUAUAUACCAGUAGAGACGGUACCUAACCAGAAAGCCACGGCUAAUAC